ensembl:lncRNA
AGGGGCGGGGCCAGAGCUGCGCGCGCGGCGUGACGGGCACGUGACGGCGCACGGAGGGGCGGGAGCGCGCGGGAGGGACCGGGACCAACUCCAAAGGGACCGGCACUAACCACCGGGAUAGGGACUAACCACCGGAACCGGAACUAACCACCGGGAUAGGGACUAACCACCGGAACCGGAACUAACCACCGGGACAGGGACUAACCCCAACAGGACCAACCCCACCGGGACCGGGACUAACUACUGGGACAGGAUCUAACCCCAACGGGAUCGGGACUAACACACUGGGACUAACACACCGGGACCGGGACUAACCCCACCGGGACAGGGACUAGCACACCGGGACCGGGACUAACUACUGGGACAGGGUCUAACCCCAACGGGAGCGGCACUAACCCCAACGGGAUCGGGACUAACACACCGGGACUAACACACCGGGACAGGGACUAACACACCGGGACAGGGACUAACCCCAACGGGACCGGGACUAACACACCGGGACAGGGACUAACCCCAACGGGACCGGGACUAACCCCAACGGCACCGGGACCAACCACCGGGACCGGGUCUAACACACCGGGACAGGGACUAACCCCAACGGGACCGGGACUAACCCCAACGGCACCGGGACCAACCACCGGGACCGGGUCUAACACACCGGGACAGGGACUAACCCCAACGGGACCGGGACUAACCCCAACGGCACCGGGACCAACCACCGGGACCGGGUCUAACACACCGGGACAGGGACUAACCCCAACGGGACCGGGACUAACCCCAACGGCACCGGGACCAACCACCGGGACCGGGUCUAACACACCGGGACAGGGACUAACCCCAACGGGACCGGGACUAACCCCAACGGCACCGGGACCAACCACCGGGACCGGGUCUAACACACCGGGACAGGGACUAACCCCAACGGGACCGGGACUAACCCCAACGGCACCGGGACCAACCACCGGGACCGGGUCUAACACACCGGGACAGGGACUAACCCCAACGGGACCGGGACUAACCCCAACGGCACCGGGACCAACCACCGGGACCGGGUCUAACACACCGGGACAGGGACUAACCCCAACGGGACCGGGACUAACCCCAACGGCACCGGGACCAACCACCGGGACCGGGUCUAACACACCGGGACAGGGACUAACCCCAACGGGACCGGGACUAACCCCAACGGCACCGGGACCAACCACCGGGACCGGGUCUAACACACCGGGACAGGGACUAACCCCAACGGGACCGGGACUAACCCCAACGGCACCGGGACCAACCACCGGGACCGGGUCUAACACACCGGGACAGGGACUAACCCCAACGGGACCGGGACUAACCCCAACGGCACCGGGACCAACCACCGGGACCGGGUCUAACACACCGGGACAGGGACUAACCCCAACGGGACCGGGACUAACCCCAACGGGACCAACCCCACCGGGACCGGGACCAACCCCAACGGGACCGGGACUAACCACCGGGACAGGGACUAACCCCAACAGGACCAACCCCACCGGGACCGGGACUAACUACUGGGACAGGGUCUAACCCCAACGGGAUCGGGACUAACACACUGGGACUAACACACCGGGACCGGGCAGGGACUAACCCCAACAGGACCAACCCCACCGGGACCGGGACUAACUACUGGGACAGGGUCUAACCCCAACGGGAUCGGGACUAACACACUGGGACUAACACACCGGGACCGGGACUAACCCCACCGGGACAGGGACUAGCACACCGGGACCGGGACUAACUACUGGGACAGGGUCUAACCCCAACGGGAGCGGCACUAACCCCAACGGGAUCGGGACUAACACACCGGGACUAACACACCGGGACAGGGACUAACACACCGGGACAGGGACUAACCCCAACGGGACCGGGACUAACCCCAACGGCACCGGGACCAACACACUGGGACCGGGACUAACCACCGGGACAGGGACCAACUACCGGGACCAGCGGACUAACCCCAACGGGACCAACCCCACCGGGACCGGGACCAACCCCAACGGGACCGGGACUAACCACCGGGACAGGGACUAACCCCAACGGGACCGGAACAUCCCACCAGGAACCCCUCACCGGCCCGGGCCGGCCCCGCUGCUGUCUCCCUCCUUUCCGCCGCCCCGGUCCUGUGCUCGCUCCCCGGUCCCGCCCCGCGCCCCCGGUAGCGGAGCAGAGACCAGGCGGGCACCAAAGGCGUUUAUUCAGCACUGGGGCAGCGCCCUCCGUCCUUCCGUCCCUCCGUCCUCCCGUCCUCCCCGGUGUCCGUGAGCGCCGGGAUCCUCC